GGAAGUUUAGGAAGAGGGUGAACAAUUUCUCAGCUGUUGAGUCAGCAUUUGGACAGUGAGGGAAUUCCACCAUUGAAUCUCCAGCACUCUCAGGGGAAAAUUGAUCCUGUGGGUAUAAGACCUCAAAUGUUCCAGCUUGUCUCAAGGCUGUGGCCUCCCCGUGUGGGACCCAGGCAGAGCUGAUUUUCAGGACAGCUGCUGGGUUUGGCUUUCCUUGUGGACAAUUUCUUCUCCGGAACCCUUGCUUACUUCUCCAU